UUGGUAUGUUGAGGCAGUAAUAUAUCUCUUGCUGUUGCUUGAGCUUUUUCUCAACUAACUUUAGCUUCAAAGCAGACGAUAGUUUUAGAUCGUGAAACUAAGACAGCUACUCAAUCUUUUCGGGACUGUAUAUGAAGAAUGAUUAAUUUCACUCAUCAUUCAAAUCAUUUUGGAUGGAUGUUAAUGGCCCUUGCAUUUUUGAUACUUAGUAAAGCUGUACAUCUAUAUAUAUAUAUAUAUAUAUAUAUAUAUAUAUCUGAUGACACUGGAUGAGAAAAUUAUGAUGUUGAAUUUGGCGAUGGAUGAGAAAUCAUUGUGUUUGCUUAAGAAUUAUUUGGAUAUAGGACCUAAAGUAAAUGUAUUAACAUGACUAAGAUAUGCUCCCAACUAAUUGGUAUCUCCUAAAUGGUUUGUGAGGAUUCAUAUAGCCGACACCGACUUGUUUUAGGAUUGAGGGGUGUGGUUUGACGUAGAAGUCCAGACCAAAACUUUAUCUGACUAAAAGACUGGAUUUUUUUUGUACUUGGUCCUGCUUUCUGCCUGCACCUCGGAAUGCAUUUGUCGUCUUUGUGGAGUUUGUUCAGCAUUUGCUGGAAAUGUAUAUAUAUAUAUAUAUAAUGUAGAAGUCCAGACCAAAACUUUAUCUGACUAAAAGACUGGAUUUUUUUUGUACUUGGUCCUGCUUUCUGCCUGCACCUCGGAAUGCAUUUGUCGUCUUUGUGGAGUUUGUUCAGCAUUUGCUGGAAAUGUAUUCCACGAGCUUUGCUUCUCUAAGUUUGUUGGUUGAUGCUUGUUCCUACAAUUCGCACAAGAUAGGGUAAUGAUGAAACAAAAGCCUUUACAGGUUCUCUAUGAGGCGUGCAUAUGUUAUUGUUGGUCAAUAGAGCAGUUUGUGUGCUUCGGUGAGAAAAUCUCUCAGGGCUAUGGUUAAAGAUGGAAACGAAUCAUCGGGAUUUUAGUCAGUUCAUGUAAACUUGAGAACAGUACAGCUAUCUUAGUUUUCUGCUUGAUGCAUGCUUAUAUAAGGUGUUUACCUGCAG
rnacentral:lncRNA from 1 species